rnacentral:rRNA from 1 species
GACGAACGCUGGCGGCGUGCUUAACACAUGCAAGUCGAACGAUGAAGAAGAGCUUGCUCUUCGGAUUAGUGGCGAACGGGUGAGUAACACGUGACUAACCUGCCCCUUUCUCCGGGAUAACGCUCAGAAAGGAGUGCUAAUACCGGAUACUCACAUCGAGGCACAUGCCUUGAUGUGGAAAGUUUUUCGGAAAGGGAGGGAGUCGCGGCCUAUCAGCUUGGUGGGGAGGUAACGGCUCACCAAGGCGACGACGGGUAGCCGGCCUGAGAGGGCGACCGGCCACACUGGGACUGAGACACGGCCCAGACUCCUACGGGAGGCAGCAGUGGGGGAUAUUGCACAAUGGGCGAAAGCCUGAUGCAGCGACGCCGCGUGAGGGAUGAAGGUCUUCGGAUUGUAAACCUCUUUCAGUAGGGACGAAGCGAAAGUGACGGUACCUAAAGAAGAAGCACCGGCUAACUACGUGCCAGCCGCCGCAGUAA